AAAGAACCACAGGGAUUGCCCUAGUAACGGCGAGUGAAGCGGCAAAAGCUCAGAUUUGAAAUCUGGCACCAUUUUGGUGUCCGAGUUGUAGUCUGUAGAGGUGUAUUCGAGUGUAGCUUUGGCUUAAGUUCCUCCGAACAGGACGUCAUAGAGGGUGAGAACCCCGUUAACGGCCUUUGUCUUAUGCUCAUGUGAAUCUCCUUCAAUGAGUCGAGUUGUUUGGGAAUGCAGCUCUAAAUGGGUGGUAAAUUCCAUCUAAAGCUAAAUAUUGGCAAGAGACCGAUAGCGCACAAGUAGAGUGAUCGAAAGAUGAAAAGAACUCUGAACAGAGAGUGAAAUAGUACGUGAAAUUGUUGAAAGGGAAGCACUUGCGACCAGACGUACUUGCAGCUGAUCAAUCCUCAUUUUUGGGGGUGCACUCGGUUGUUUGUAGGUCAGCAUCAGUUAUGGUGGUGGGAAAAAGACUAUGGGAAUGUAGCUCCUUUCGGGGAGUGUUAUAGCCCUUGGUGUAAUACCACUUGCUGUGACUGAGGACUGCGCUUUAGCGAGGAUGCUGGCAUAAUGGUCGUAAGUGACCCGUCUUGAAACACGGACCAAGGAGUCUAACAUCUAUGCGAGUGUUUGGGUGUUCAAACCCUUAUGCAGAAUGAAAGUAAAUGGAGGUGGGAACCCCACAAAGGUGCACCAUCGACCGAUCCUGAUGUUUUCAGAUGGAUUUGAGUAAGAGCAUAGCUGUUGGGACCCGAAAGAUGGUGAACUAUGCCUGAAUAGGGUGAAGCCAGAGGAAACUCUGGUGGAGGCUCGCAGCGGUUCUGACGUGCAAAUCGAUCGUCAAAUUUGGGUAUAGGGGCGAAAGACUAAUCGAACCAUCUA
rnacentral:rRNA from 1 species